GACGGGGGAUGCAAGCGUUAUCCGGAAUCACUGGGCGUAAAGCGCGCGCAGGCGGCAACCUCAGUGUCGUGUGAAAGCCCCCGGCUCAACCGGGGGAGGCCAUGGCAAACUGGGUCGCUCGAGCUGCGGAGAGGCCCCUCGAAUUGCCGGUGUAGCGGUGAAAUGCGUAGAGAUCGGCAGGAAGACCAAGGGGGAAGCCAGGGGGCUGGCCGCAGGCUGACGCUGAGGCGCGACAGCGUGGGGAGCAAACCGG
rnacentral:rRNA from 1 species